UUUAGGACCCUCAGAGACCCCUUGGGGACCCCUCAGGUCCCUCUAUGUCCCUUUUAGGACCCCUGGGGACCCCGCAAAGACAUUUGGGGACCCCUUAGGACCCCCCAGGUCCCCUUGAGGACCCCCAAGUCCCCUUUAGGACCCCCCAGUUCCCUUUUAGGACUCGUGGGGCCCCCCAGGUCCCCUUGAGGACCCCCAGAGGUCCUUUGAGGACCCCUCAGGUCUCUCUAUGUCCCUUUUAGGACCCCUGGGGACCCCGCAAAGACAUUUGGGGACCCCUUAGGACCCCCCAGGUCCCCUUUAGGACCCCCAAGUCCCCUUUAGGACCCCCCAGUUCCCUUUUAGGACCCGUGGGGCCCCCCCAGGUCCCCUUGAGGACCCCCAGAGGCCCCUUGGGGACCCCCAUGUCCCCCUUUAGGACUCCCAGGUUCUCUUUAGGACCCCUGGGGACGACCCAGUCCCCCUAUAGGACCCUUCAGGUCCCUUUAGGACCCCCAGAGACCCCUUGGGGACCCCUCAGGUCCCUCUAUGUCCCUUUUAGGACCCCCUAGGACCCCCGUGUUCCCUUUAGGACCCCUGGGGAUGCCCCAGUCCCCCUUUAGGACCCACGGGGACCCUUUAGGACCCCCAGAGACCCCUUGGGGACCCCCAAGUCCCCUUUAGGACCCCCCAGUUCCCUUUCAGGACCCCUUAGGACCCCCAAAUCCACCACGCAGCCACUCAGGACCCUUCCAGGACCGCUUUAUGUCCCUUUUAGGACCCCCUAGGACCC
rnacentral:lncRNA from 1 species